rnacentral:snRNA from 1 species
GUGUUAGCUUUGACAGCCCAGAUACUAAAAUUGGAAGAGUACAAAGAUUAACUCGGUUCUUCUACCAGGAUGACAUGCAAAUUCAUGAGGCAUCCCCUAUCUUU